rnacentral:rRNA from 1 species
UAGGGAAUCUUCGGCAAUGGACGAAAGUCUGACCGAGCAACGCCGCGUGAGUGAAGAAGGUUUUCGGAUCGUAAAACUCUGUUGUUAGAGAAGAACAAGGACGUUAGUAACUGAACGUCCCCUGACGGUAUCUAACCAGAAAGCCACGGCUAACUACGUGCCAGCAGCCGCGGUAAUACGUAGGUGGCAAGCGUUGUCCGGAUUUAUUGGGCGUAAAGCGAGCGCAGGCGGUUUCUUAAGUCUGAUGUGAAAGCCCCCGGCUCAACCGGGUAGGGUCAUUGGAAACUGGGAGACUUGAGUGCAGAAGAGGAGAGUGGAAUUCCAUGUGUAGCGGUGAAAUGCGUAGAUAUAUGGAGGAACACCAGUGGCGAAGGCGGCUCUCUGGUCUGUAACUGUCGCUGAGGCUCGAAAGCGUGGGGAGCAAACAGG